rnacentral:lncRNA from 1 species
UGUGAACGGGGCUGUUUUAUUUAAAAUGUUUUGCAUAAAAGAAUAAAUGUAAAUGUAAAACCGAAACUAGGUAUAGAGAAGGAAUGACAGAUAUAAAACAGUUCAGAGAGUGUUCAGCAUCAUUCUUCCUGACUGCAAAAGCAAAACCCAUUUACACAAAAUAUGAUUUGAAAAGCACAUAUGCUUCCCUGUUCAGAAGAGUGACUGUUCUCUGCAGCGUGUUUGAACCAAACAGAACAGCUACUAAAUGCAAAAGCACAGGGGCAUGAAUUUUUUAUGAAAGCUAAUGUUGUGACUGUAGGGGCAGUGAAUACUACAAGUGAGAUAAUUGCCUGCAGAUCCCUUGAGUUCUGGGCUGCUUUCAUGUGCUGAUAUUGAAGCAGACAAUAAAUGUAUAUUUCCUGCAUGACUGCUGCACACAAAUGCUCAUAGUCACGGUUCUGCUGGUGUGCCCUGGUUGGCCACCAGAUGUCACUGUGUGUUUGUUUGAGCACAUGGCUUGUUGUGGGUGCCAUGUGCUCUCCUGUCUAUUGUCUGACCCCACACUUCUUUUUAUCUCAUUAUUGUUUCAGUUGCUCCACCUGUGUCUCCCUCGUUACCGUCCUCGUUUGUCUCCCUAUUUAUUCUCCUGGUGUCUGCAGUCCUGUGCUGAUAUGUUGUUUGUAUGUACUGUCGGUGCCCUGCCCUGCCCUGCCCUGCCUUGCCUGUUUUCCCCCUUGGGGUAGUUUUUGUUGUUUUAUUUUUAUCAUUAAAAGCCCAUUUCUUCCUGCAUUUGAGUCACCACAAUGCAUCACUGUAAAAAGGAAUUCGUAUCGAACCAUGACCCCAGAACCGAAGUACAUACCAUUCCACUGCCACUGUUUUCCUAUGCCCUUGAUGAGCCCAUCAGCACCUGGAGGAAGUUCGACAUGGAGCACCUGUCCAUUGGGGUGUUUGUGGACUUUCUAGCCCACAAAGGGAGGCAGUCAGAGGUGCCUUUUCCCAUCAUGGCAGCCAUUUCAGAGUCUUGUCCUGACAUGGUCGCCAUUUCAGAGCCUCUUCUCAAGAUGGCCGCCAGUCCAGAACCUCUUCACAAGGGGGUCCCAAGGUGUUUGAGACUAGUUUCCAGUUUGAUGGACCCACCUCUAUUGACAGUGCGAGGAACUCGCAUCACUGCGGGGGUCCCUAGUCCAGCGGUCCUGGAGGACCCGACUCUGGUGGUCCUAUGUUCGUUGGUUUCUGAGGUCACUGAGCAGCCCGCUGUCCUUGCCUCGGCCAUGGAGGCCACUACAGAGCCACCCCAUUUCACUGCUGCUGCCGCGAGGGCCAUCACUGAGCAGCCCGCUCUUCUUGUCUCAGCCAUGGAGGCCGCUACAGAGACAACUCCAGAGUCUGCUCCAGUCCAGGAGCUCUCAGAGUCCACUCAAGAACCUGCUCCAGUCCAGGAGCCUUUGUAGUCCACUCAGGAAUCCGCUCCAGUUCACAAGUACACUCCAGACCCUACUCCUACCCAUGAGUCUGCUCAACCAUGGUGGUCAAGAACUCUGCCAGCGCUGCCUCAGUGGUCUUCAGCCCCACCCGCACCAAUGUGGUGGUCGCAAGCUCCACCUGAUCCACCAAGGUGGCCUUCUCUCCCAUCUGCUUUGCUGUGGUAUUCAUCUGCUCCACCAUGGGGAGCUUCAGUCAUGUAUGCUCUGCUGUGGUGGUCUUCUGCACCACCGUGGAGGUCUUCAGCCUUUUCUGAGAGGCUGUGGUGGGCUUCAGCUCCACCCUGGUGGGCUUCAGUUCCGCAUGCUCCACCCUGGAGGACUUCAGCUCCGUAUGCUCCACCCUGGAGUGCUUCAGCUCCACCUGUGCCGCCCUGGAGGGUUUCAGCUCCACCUGCUAUGCCCUGGAGGUUUUCAGCUCUGCAUGCUCAGCCCUGGAGGAUUUCAGUUCCUCAUGUUCUGCCACAUGGUCCUCUCAACCCGUCCCUCCCCCUGAUCCGCCUCCAGUCCACCUCCCUGCUGGACUAUUUUGUUUCUGUUUUAGUAUGUGGAGCAUCUGGAAUCCACUCCUUAAAUGGGUGGAUUCGAUACCCUACUCAUUUAUCUUCUGGUGUCUGCUAGUUCUGUGCUGAUCCGUUGUUUGUCCUGCCUUGCCUUGCUGUGCUGUGCUGUGCUGUGGGAAUCCACUCCUUAAAUGGUGGAUUCGAUACCCUACUCAUUUAUUCUUCUGGCGUCUGCAGUUCUGUGCUGAUCCGUUGUUUGUCCUGCCUUGCCUUGCUGUGCUGUGCUGUGCUGUGCUGUGCUGUGCUGUACCCUGGCCUGCCUGCCUGCCUGUUUUCCCCCUUGGGGUAGUUUUUGUUGUUUUUUAGUUUUAUUUUUAUCAUUAAAAGCCCAUUUCUACCUGCAUUUAAGUCCUUGCCUCAUGUCUACCCGCAAACUUGCCACUUAUGCCGUGAAAGACACAACAUUGAUUCAGUAU